rnacentral:rRNA from 1 species
GAUCAUGGCUCAGGACGAACGCUGGCGGCGUGCCUAACACAUGCAAGUCGAACGGGACUCAUUGGAACAAGACUUCGGUCAAGGGAAUUUGAGUUUAGUGGCGAACGGGUGAGUAACGCGUGAGCAACCUGCCCUUCAGAGGGGGACAACAGUUGGAAACGACUGCUAAUACCGCAUGACGUACGAAGGAGGCAUCUUCUUUGUAUCAAAGAUUUAUCGCUGAAGGAUGGGCUCGCGU